rnacentral:lncRNA from 1 species
CACAGCCUGUCCCAUCUGUGGUUUUUCUGGCCUGAAAACUGUAUUGCCCAGUAUUUGGGUGGCCCUUCUGAGAGCAAACAUCCUUCCUAGUGGAAGCAAGUUCAUCCUGAGAUCCUUUGGGAACACUGUUCAGAAAUCCCCUGAUAGACUUCUGUCUGGUAUCUUCUCUCUGUCUGUCUCAGUAGAAAGAUCACCGUGUCUGUACUACAAGUUAUAAACACCCUGGACCUCACCUGUGGACUCAGUGUGUUGUGGGGGUGGGGGGUGGUGCUCUUCUGUCUGGGUGCUGUUCUCUCCACAGUGUUUGUUCAUGGUUUUUCCCCAGAUCCCGGAAUUUCUGAGUGCCUUUGACAUCAGUGAGUCAAUCCCUGGGAGCAGUUCAAUGUGACCCCUGUGUUCACUAUGGGCUGGGUGAGGUGACCUGGCCAGGUCACACAGGAAACCUGUGAUGCCUCCAGGAGCCAAUGUCCCAGUGUCAGCUGUGGGCCAGGUGCUGCAGAGAAGCUCUGGCAGCUGCUUCUACAUUCCCUCAGCUCAGUGCUUGUCAGCAGUUUCAUGGGGAGUUGGUGUGGUUCAGCAGCAAGGAAAUCUGGUGUCACUGGGACAUUUGUUGUGUUCUUGGCUGCUCUGAUUUCCUAAGCAGGAAUCCCAAAGCCAGAAACUGAAAAUUCCCAUUGUGCAGGGGUGGGUCUGCAGCCCAGGCAGGGGUGCUGCUGCCUGCUCCAGUGCCCUGGCAGGCUCCUUGUCCCUGUACUUUUCUCCCUGCUCCAAGGGGAGGGCAAGCCAAGCUGAGCUUUCCCAGGGGAGUUUGUGUGAUGAGCUGCUGAGGUGUCUGUGGCUGCAAAGUGCUGCAUUCCCAGCCUGCUUAUCCAGAGUUCAGUCAGUCCUGGCUAUGGAAAUGCUGGCAGGGGUCAGUCAGUCCUGGUUAUGGAAACUCUGGCAGGGGUCAGUCAGUCCUGGCUAUGGAAAUCCUGGCUGUGUCUGGGACUCUGUGCCUGCUCUGGCCACUGCAGCAGUCAGCCCAGCAUUACUGGUCAGACUGGUCUGAUCCAACCUAUUUUUUGACCUCAAGGUGUUUUUCUUGUCUCUUUCCUUAAUUCUUAAAAUCUCAAAACCAGCAGCUUGCAGAGGGCUGCACACUGUGCUUCCUGAGUGCUCUGUGUAAUGAUGGCUUCCACUGUCACUGCUGGGACACUGUCACACGGUCACAGUCUGCAUGGGUCUGCCACCACAUCACUUUGCUCACUUACUUCCUAACUUUCUGCUCAUUUCACUUUUUUGAUGAUUUUGCACCUCCAGCUGUUGGUGGGUGGGAGGAAAUGGAGCUCAGGGCUUCCAGGGGAGGCUGGGAGAAGGGGUUGGUGAGGAUUUACAUGAAGUUAAGGAGAAGUCUUGUCCCUGCCUCAUAGAAGGAGGUGGAGAAGGUGGGGCCAGGCUGCAGGGGUGCACAGGGAUGGGAACAGA